GCGCGCGUGGUGAAAUUGGUAGACACGCAAGAUUCAGGUUCUUGUGCCUUCGGGUGUGGAGGUUCGACUCCUCUCGCGCGCACCA
rnacentral:tRNA from 1 species